CAGUAGCCGCGGUAAUACCGAGGGUGCAAGCGUUAAUCGGAAUUACUGGGCGUAAAGCGCGCGUAGGUGGUUCGCCAAGUUGGAUGUGAAAUCCCCGGGCUCAACCUGGGAACUGCAUCCAAAACUGGCGAGCUAGAGUAUGGUAGAGGGUGGUGGAAUUUCCUGUGUAGCGGUGAAAUGCGUAGAUAUAGGAAGGAACAUCAGUGGCGAAGGCGACCACCUGGACUGAUACUGACACUGAGGUGCGAAAGCGUGGGGAGCAAACAGGAUUAGAUACCCGCGUAUCCCUGUCUCUUAUACA
rnacentral:rRNA from 1 species